rnacentral:rRNA from 1 species
AACGAACGCUUGCGGCGUGCCUAAGAAAUGCAAGUCGAGCGGGGUAGCAAUACCUAGCGGCGAACGGUCGCGUAACACGUAAGCAAUCUGCCCCAAACGAACCGGGACAACAGUGAGAAAUCGCUGCUAAUACCGGAUGUGCCCGCCCUGUCGCAUGACCGGGGUGAGUAAAUCGAGCAAUCGGCUUUGGGAGGAGCUUGCGGCCUAUCAGCUAGAUGGCGGGGUAGUGGCCCCACCAUGGCGACGACGGGUAGCUGGUCUGAGAGGAUGGUCAGCCGGACUGGGACUGAGAUACGGCCCAGACUCCUACGGGGGGCAGCAAUUAGGGAAUCUUUGCGCAAUGGGCGAAAGCCUGACGCAGCGACGCCGCGUGGGGGAGGAAGGCC